rnacentral:rRNA from 1 species
UACAGAGGUCUCAAGCGUUGUUCGGAUUCAUUGGGCGUAAAGAGCGUGUAGGCGGCCAGGUAGGUCGGUUGUGAAAACUGGAGGCUCAACCUUCAGAGGUCGGCCGAAACCAUCUGGCUAGAGUCCGGGAGAGGAGAGUGGAAUUCCUGGUGUAGCGGUGAAAUGCGCAGAUAUCAGGAAGAACACCCGUGGCGAAAGCGGCUCUCUGGAACGGUACUGACGCUGAGACGCGAAAGCGUGGGGAGCGAACAGG